rnacentral:tRNA from 1 species
UAUAAUGAAGCAAGAUUUUGCAUUUAGUUUCGACCUAAAAAUUAGUAAUAAAUUUACCUUUAUUU